UACGUAGGGUCCGAGCGUUAUUCGGAAUUACUGGGCGUAAAGCGUGCGCAGGCGGUUCGUUAAGUUCGAUGUGAAAGCCCCGGGCUCAACCUGGGAAUGGCAUUGGAAACUGGCGGACUCGAGUGUGGCAGAGGGGGGUGGAAUUCCGCGUGUAGCAGUGAAAUGCGUAGAGAUGCGGAGGAACACCGAUGGCGAAGGCAGCCCCCUGGGCUAACACUGACGCUCAGGCACGAAAGCGUGGGGAGCAAACAGG
rnacentral:rRNA from 1 species